ensembl:lncRNA
UUUUUCCAGAAUUAGGAGAAUUCAGACCUCCUUAAAUCUGGACUUGUGAUUGCAACACAUUUGAGCAUUUUUACCUCUUGCCAGAGAGUCUUAUUUUUAAUCUGCUGCUCUGUGACUUGGUCAGAGCAAGCAGUAUGCUGUAUAUCUGCCUGCAGUUGUUUGGAAUUGAUGCAGUGUGCUGUGUGUUGCACUCAGAUUUACAGCCAAGGUGUUCCUUCCUUUUGAGUUGACAGAAGUCUUCAGAAAGUCUACUUCCAUGACUGGACCUUUGAUAAGAAGAGUUGAAGUACUUAGCAGUCUAAGUGCAGGAUGAUUGGUUUGAGCUUGUCAUGACACUUCAGCUCGUUGGCCUACCCUCUGCAAGAGUGCGGUAAGAAGCAAGGCACCUUCCCAGGAGAGAAACAGUCCGAAGUCUGCAGUUUCCAAUGAAAUGCUGUCCGAGAACUGCUGGAAAAGAAGAUCAGCAAGAGAAAGACUAUCAUCUCUUCUUGAACAAGACUUACUGUCCUCACGUCAAAGCUAGAGAAGCCUUCUCAUCGUAUAACAGCAAAAGGAGGAAAAGUGGAUUCAAUGUGAGCUGUUAGCUGCACUGCAUAUUCUACAAGGUACUGAUAGGAAGCCUGAAAAUUAGUACUCUAACCCAGUAGAAAAACAAGAAUUUUUCAGCUCAUUAGACCUUCAUACAGCAGCCCCAACUGAGGGCAAAAGACAAUCCAAAUACAUUUAAUGCUAACAUUAAUUUAUUUGAGGAUAGUUUUUAUCUAGUGCAAACUUAGAUUCCCCCCCCCCCUCACUUAGUAUUUACAAAUGCAUUCUUUUAAGAUGUUAGGUAUUUCUCCAUGUUCGCUGGGACCUUUGCUUAAGCAGAGCUUCCCUUUACCAUUUGAACUGUUAAUAAUAUCUUCCUUCUUUUCCAUGCAUCUUGUCUUGUAGGAGUAUACUUUCCCUCCCCCACAUCAAGCCUAAAAUCUGUUUAAGGUGAUAUUAGAGGAAGAAAAAGCAAAAAGAAACAAGGGGUAUAGCCAACCUUUUUAAUUAGAGUAUAUUGUACUUCCAAACUGGAUACACUAGAAAUUGGCAAUGCAACAUAAGAUGCAAAGGAAUAUACCAGUUACUGUCAAAAUGACCCUGUACAGCCUUAUAAUGCAAAAAGCUUUAUACAAUACAAACUUUAAUAAUGUACACAGACCUUGACAGAAUGAUAUUUGAACAUAAUACACCAAGUAAAAAAAUACAGAAGAAAGAAAAAAGUGCUGAGAACUUUAACUGAAGUACUGAAUGGAAAAACACACUAGCCUUCAUUGAAGAAUGCAUAGGGAUAAACUAUUAUGAAAUUAGCUUUAUGGUGGGGGGAAUUUUUCAGAACUGUUGGUCUUUAAUAGGUAGGGGAUAUCUCCGGAACACAUUCCUUUCUUUAGUCUUGAACUGCAAACCAAUUAUGUUAAUAUGCAUGAGCUCUGAUAAAUACUGUAUUUUUUUUCUUAAAAAAAUAAAAACCUCCUAACACACUUUUCCUUACAGAGAAAACUUCUAUGACGUACCAGAAAGAAUGAAUUUAUCCUUUCCAAAGUGCUAAACAAACUUCCCAGGUAUAUUAGACAUUACUAUGUCAGGUACUGGUACAGUGGAACGUUGUUGAACAUGUGGCAUUUGUGUGCUGACAGCUCAUUCUUGGAACUUCCAGCCUUAUUUAUAUUGCAGUUUGGUUUACAGAAAGCAUCCUAGUAAUAUUCGUACUUCCUCCUAGACAGCUGUACUUUCCCUGUUGGUUUGAAAAAAAAGCUUUUUGCUUUGGAAGUGUUUGCUUUACUAUGGUGGGGUCAGAGAUAUAUGCAUCGAGUGUAUUUUAUAGGACUGGUAUAGUUUCUGGGUGCAGAUUGCAUAUUUCAGGCUGUUGAGAUACUCAGUUGUUUAUGUUUUGUGUAUUUACUAAUACACCACUUUCUAUUUUGUCUGUACUCCCAGGGGGGUUACCAGGAGUUCCGAUGGCAAAGAGGGCCCUGAGUUGUGUUGUUACUAGAAUUUUUAUAUUUACUUUGGAACAGAUGGCUUUUCUCUACUGCACAGACAGGCAGAACUGCCAUAUGCUCAGUAGAACCAAAAUUUUCUGCUGGAAUGUAAACAAAAUGGUGGGACUUCUCUGCCCUUUAAUUCAUUAUUCCAAAUAAUAACCUGCUCCUAUUUUGGAUGUUUCCCCUUUGUAAAUAGCUUUGAGGAUGUUAAACAGGAGUGCAUAAAUGAGGACGUCCUCCCUGAACAGGAAGACUUUGGUCAUGCCUGUGGAGAGUGUUUGGCCAUCUCAGUGCAAAACAAAUGUAGGAAUCUUCCACAUAAAUAAAACGAUGCAAGUUCUGCAUAAAAACAAAACAAAACAAAAACCUCUACAUAAGCUUCAUUUAAAAAAUGAAGAAGAUUGAGAUUGUUUCUGUGUGUGUGUGUGUGUGUGUGUGUGUGUGUGUGGCUCAGAGCCUUUGUGGACCAGAAAUGCCUUCCUGAACCAGGAUAUUGCGUUACUGCUGUCCAAACAAGGGGCUGGCUCCAACUGGCCUGCUGAGCUCCCUCCUUUCCACAGCACCCUGCAGAAGAAGUUGCUUUGGAACAGCAUGAGAGUGGGUAAGUA